GGCGGGAGUUUAGGCUGUGCCGACCCCUCAGCCCCCCUCCAGGAGACGUUCGGAGCCCAGGACAUGUCGGGAUUGAGGAGAUACGAGGUGGCGCUGGAGGCGGAGGAGGAGAUCUAUUGGGGCUGUUUCUACUUCUUCCCCUGGCUGCGCAUGUGGCGGAGGGAGCGGAGCUCGGCGCACCCCGGGGAGCAGAAACUGGAGUCUUUGCGGGGCCUGAUGAGCUGUCUGUCGAGCGGCCUGGGCCCUGCUCCCCAGCGCUCGGGUCGUAGCCUCCCCAGCCGCACCCCCACCGCCGCUGCCCAGCCAGCCGGUGCAUUAAAGAUUUAAGCCGAA